rnacentral:rRNA from 1 species
GACGAACGCUGGCGGCGUGCUUCACACAUGCAAGUCGAGCGGAGCGGCGAACGGGUGAGUAACGCGUGAGUAACUGACCCCCUCUCUGGGAUAACAGUUGGCAACGGCUGCUAAUACCGGAUAGUGGGGGAUGGCUCGCUUCCAAUCAGCUUGUGGGUUGGGUAGUGGCCUUCCAAGGCGACGACGGUUAGCCGGCCUGAGAGGGCGACCGGCCACAAUGGGCUGAGAUACGGCCCAAAAGCCUACGGGAGGCAGUAGUGGGGAAUAUUUCACAAUGGGGGAAACCCUGAUGCAGCAACGCCGCGUGCGGGAUGACGGCCUUCGGGUUGUAAACCGCUUUCAGCCAUGACGCGGUAGUGGCAGAAGAAGCACCGGCUAACUACGUGCCAGCAGCCGCGGUAAUUC